GACACGGUGCACGGGCGCAGCAGGCAUGAAGUGUGGGAGCUGCUGUACGCGCACAGCCUGCCCGCAUGAUUCCCGAUGCAACUCGGAACAAAGAAAAAAAACUGAGCACCAGCGACCUCCUUUCCAGAAGCUGCAGCAGAACAGGCGGCAGUUUGACUACAAAUACCCUCACUAGCAGAAAUUGGGGAGUUUUACUACAAAGCUCACUCUGCAUGAGACAUUUUCGCAGAACUAUUGUUGUCUAAUAAAGGCUCUUUGUGUUGAGCACUAGUUUA